rnacentral:rRNA from 1 species
CUGGCACAACUGACGCCUUGAAUUAUCCCCCUGGGGAAUACGGUCCCUAGAAAUAAACCCCAAGGAAUUUCUGGGCCAUCAGACGAAGUAAUACAAAGGGGGCAAGCGUUAUUCGGAAUUAUUGGGCGUAAAGGGCGCGUAGGCGGUUUUUUAAGUCAGAUGUGUAAUCCCCGAGCUCAACUUGGGAACUGCAUCUGAGACUGGAAGGCUAGAGUACUGGAGAGGGUGGUGGAAUUCCUCGUGUAGCGGUGAAAUGCGUAGAGAUGAGGAGGAACACCAGUGGCGAAGGCGGCCACCUGGACAGUAACUGACGCUGAGGCGCGAAAGUGUGGGUAGCAAACAGGAUUAGAUACCCUGGUAGUCCACGCUGUAAACGAUGAACACUUGGUGUGGAGGGAGUUGACCCCUUCCGUGCCGGAGCUAACGCGUUAAGUGUUCCGCUGGGGGAGUACGGUCGCAAGGCUGAAACUCAAA